AGUGAACGCUGGCGGUAGGCCUAACACAUGCCAGUCGAACGGCAGCACAGUAAGAGCUUGCUCUUACGGGUGGCGAGUGGCGGACGGGUGAGGAAUACAUCGGAAUCUACUUUUUCGUGGGGGAUAACGUAGGGAAACUUACGCUAAUACCGCAUACGACCUACGGGUGAAAGCAGGGGAUCUUCGGACCUUGCGCGAUUGAAUGAGCCGAUGUCGGAUUAGCUAGUUGGCGGGGUAAAGGCCCACCAAGGCGACGAUCCGUAGCUGGUCUGAGAGGAUGAUCAGCCACACUGGAACUGAGACACGGUCCAGACUCCUACGGGAGGCAGCAGUGGGGAAUAUUGGACAAUGGGCGCAAGCCUGAUCCAGCCAUACCGCGUGGGUGAAGAAGGCCUUCGGGUUGUAAAGCCCUUUUGUUGGGAAAGAAAAGCAGCAGGUUAAUACCCCGCAGUUCUGACGGUACCCAAAGAAUAAGCACCGGCUAACUUCGUG
rnacentral:rRNA from 1 species